UUUGAGGGUUGGAACUUCCUCUGGACAGAGGAAUGUUCUUCUCUUAUCUGUGUGUUCGGCGUUGAGCAUUCGCUGGAAAUGGACUAUGAAUGCUAUGCUCUGAAGCCGAGAAAUGCAACUGUAAAUAGAUUAUGUAAAUAAAGUAAAACAACAGUUAAACAACUGGAGUGUUUGUUUGACCAGUGCUGUUUCUCAGCAUGGGAAUACAGUCUGGAGAAGGAGGUGAGAUCGGGAUGAUGAAUUUUUGGAAUCCACUCCGCCUCCCAUCAUCCCCUGACAUUUAUGACUUAUGGCAACACUAGGGUGAACUUAUCAUGUAGUUUUCUGAAGCUAAGAAGAUGUGAUUUGGCCAUGUGGCUUUUUAUGACCAAGUUGGGAUUUGAUUCCAGUUCUCCAGAACCAUGAUCCAAUGUUGUCAUGGUUUGUAAAGGCACUGUGCUAUGUGUGUUAACUGGAAAAUGAAGUGCAUGAAGCCGAUUGGCUGAGCCUGCAAAGACCUGUGGAUUGAUUUGAUACUGUUUCUGUUCUGCUGCUGCAGAACCAGUUUGGACAAGUAUUUCAGUGCUGACUGAGUCCUGAUAGUGAAGAGAGCAAUGUAAUCAGAGAUGCCUUGCUAUGUUGAGACCUGCUUGUUGCUGAGAAAAGACGGUGAAGAACCAGGACUGUAUUCUUCCCUGAAGCAGAUUUGUGGACUGAGGAAGGACUGUUUAUGACUGUGGACUUCUGUAAGUGAUCAGAGGGACCAUUGUAAAUACUACUGGUUUUUUGAUCUCUUGGAAUAAGUAAAGUUCCUGUAUUCUUGUUCUGCAAACCUGAAUGGCAUGUUAUUGUUCUGCGGGUGACUCUGGAUCACGGGCACAUGAGGAGGCGGAUGCUCUCUCUCGACUGCAGGAUUGAUUUUCCUGGGCUCUUACGACUCGGGAUGACUCCACAAAUAAUUUGGCGAGCAAUAUGUACUGCUGCUUUCUCUGCAGACCUUUGAACCACACGUUUCUCAAUGCAUGGCUCACACCAGGAGCCAGUUGGAUGUGCUACUCAUUAAGGUCUAGUAAACCCUCUCAUGUAGGAUUUGGGGGAAAUUAAAGCAAACAACUUUUAGAAGCUUUUUCCAAUGUCAACAGUAGGUAUGGGAGGUGACUGCAGAUCAAAACUAUACUGGAUAUAGGGAAAUGGUUAAAGACAUCCCUCUCCAUGAGGGCUGGGCUGUGGCGCAGCUGGUUAGUAACUGUAUGCACAGAUGUCUAUAAUACACAGCAAAAAGGAAAAGUCUUGUAUAUAAUACUAGCUGUUCCCGGCCACGCGUUGCUGUGGCGAAGUAUGGUGGUAUGGGAACCAGAGCCAGCCCUAGGUAAUUUUCAAGUGUAGGUGAACAAAAUUUAGGCGCCCCCCCCCCCAACCAAUCACUGAAAAAUAAACGCAUUGGAUAAGCGAAAAUGUUGGAUAAUAAGGAGGGAUUAAGGAAAAGCCUAUUAAACAUCAAAUUACAUUAAGAUUUUACAAAUUAAGCAGCAAAACAUCAUGUUUUACAACAAAUAAACAGAAAAAGCAGUCUCGACUGCGCCCCCGUAUGUUUUGCGCCCGAAGCGACUGCUUAAUUCGCCUCAUUGUUGGACCGGCUCUGAUGGGAACUAAAGUAUUGAGGAAUUGGUGGUAGUUACAAUUAUUGCUCUCCCUCUAAUUAGGACUUCAUUUUUCUUUUCUUUUUGUUGUAUCAACCUAGUGGCGUGGAUGAUGGGUUGUGUUGUCAAAUUUCGAGGUUGGGGGGCCUGUAGUUUUGUUGUUUUGUGGGUCACCGUGAUGCCAUCACUCAUUUAUAUAUAUAGAUAUUCCGAGGUAAGUAGUGUUCAAGUUAUAUACUUCUACUGUAAUGAAAUCCUUUAUACAUUCAAAAUGCAACAAAAAAUUAUAUAUUCAAAACUGUAUGGGUAAGAAAUUGUGGUUCUACGCCCUUUUAAGUCUGAACUGGGUUUAAAUGAACCCGGUGAUUGAUCGUAGCCUCGUCCCUGUCGUACAUCCAACAGGUAAUGGUAAUCUUAUUAUUUUAGUUCAAAUAAACAACAUGUGACAUAGUGUAGGUACCCUAUAGGAAUAUAUACCUCUUAACAUAAAGAUAUACAAUGUAGCACCAUUGCAAGUUUAGACUCCAUUAAACUGUUACAGUCUCUUGUUUUAAAUCCAGUUCUAACAAAUAAGAUUAGUUGAUAUUAAAUAAAAAGUCUUGCCAACGUCUUGAUAAUAUUUUCAAGAACUAUAUACGUAUUGUACAAAGUCAAUCAUUCAAAUGAAAUCAAAAGUAUUAUAUAAAUUCUUCUUAUAAAUGGUACCAAAGUAGAGUUACUCCCUAAUAGAAGGAGUUUGUACAACACGUAUACAGUUCUUGAGAAUAUUAUCAAGACGUUAGAACAGUUUUGAAUAUAUAAAUUUUUGUUACAUUUUGAAUGUAUAAAGGAUUUCAUUACAAUAGAAGUAUAUAACUAGAACACUACUUACCUUGGAAUAUAUUAUAUACCAUACUUUUCCUUUUUGCCAGCUGGUUAGUAACCUGCUGCAAUAAAUCACUACUGUCCAAGAGGUCAUGAGUUCGAACCCCAGGUUGGGUUAAGCCUCCGACUAUUAAAUAGCCCAGCUUGCUGUUUACCUAAGCAGCCCGAAAGACCGUUGCAUCUGUCAAUUAGGGAAAUUUAGGGACGCUUUAUGUGGGAGGCUAAUUUAACUAAUUUACAACAUCAUAAAACUGCCAGCAAAACACAAGGAAAGGAAUGAGGAAGUACAGACACUACUGGACAGUGAAGCAACAGCUCCCCCUCUGGCCGGAAUCGUGAAGCUGGAAAAAAUGUUAAAAAAUGCCUCUGUGUCUGUCUAUAUAUGUUGUUUGUCUGUUGGCAUUGAAUGUUUGCCAUAUAUGUGUUCAUUGUAAUCUGCCCUGAGUCCCCUUCGGGGUGAGAAAGGCAGAAUAUAAAUACUGCAAAUAAAUAAAUAAUAAAUAAAAUUCGUAAUGAUUCUAAAUGUUUCUAAAAUGGCAGACGCACAUGUGCAAUCACCAAAAAAAAGGAACCCGGGGAGGGGGGGGGGGGACUUUUACAGGACUCUCCCGCCCUCAUUUCUUGAGCUAUUCUGAUCAAAUUUGCAAUGCCCUUGCAAGUUCUUAUUGCCUUCUUAUUGUCAUUAUUGUCAUUGCUAGUACUUUAAUGACUAUGUCAAUUACGUAACUACCUCCCUCCGAUUUGACACAUUCGCCCUUUGGCCUAGACUUGUGUUUUAUAUCUGUUUUUAACGCGUUUUCCUGCAAUAUUGUUUUUAUGAUGGUUUUACUGAUAUUGUUGAUUUAUUGUUGUAAAUUUAUGUGUUUUGAUUUGUUUUUAUAUUGUGAUGUUGGGCAAGGCCCCAUGUGAGCUGCCCCGAGUCCCUACGGGGAGAUGGGGCGGGAUACAAGAAUAAAAUUAUUAUUAUUAUUAUUAUUAUUAUUAUUAUUAUUAUUAGUUGUGCAAAGAUACUUUGAAAACUAGAAAUUCCCUUGCUAUAUUUGUAAGCAAGAAGGACACUGGAAAUCAAUGGUGUCUCUGGCUAUGUGAUCCCACAAGCCUCAACCCAAUGCCUUCCAUUAGAAAUGGACCAGUGACCACCACGCCAAGCAAUGCCCUGGCAAGGUGUACUUUGAAAACUAGAAAUUCCCUUUCUAAGAGAAGGAACCAGCAACAAAACCCUAACCCUUUCUCCAAAUCCCUCUGUGUCUCUUCCUUCCAAUAAACCUAUAACCAAGAUUGUCCUACCAAGAUUGUCCUACCUAUAACUAAGAUUAUUACUUUACUUACUUGGUUAUUAUAUGUUUUACUGUAGGCUAUGUUUUAUUGAUUCUUUUAUUUGAUUGUUGUAUCUUUGUUUAUAGUUUACUAGCUGUGCCCGGCCACGUGUUGCUGUGGCGAAGUAUGAGGCCCCUUCUACACAGCUGGAUAAAAUGCACACUGAAGUGGAUUAUAUGGCAGUGUGGAGUGAAGAUAAUGCAGUUCAAAGCAGAUAAUAUGAGAUUAUAAAUGGGUUAUAUAGCUGUGGGCCUGGAGUCUACACUGCCAUAUAAUCCAGUUAAAAUCAGAUAAUCUGUAUUUUAUAGGCAGUGUGGAAGAGGCCUAAGUGAGGCCUAACUCUGCCUGUCCCCUGGGCUGUGUGGGUUGCUAGGAGACCAAGUGGGCGGAGCUUAGCCUUCUAACUGGCAGCAAUUGGAUGAAAACAAUCAUUCCUCUCCCUCUAAUUAGGACUUUAUUUUUCUUUUCUUUUUGUUGUAUGAACGUAGAGGCAUGGAUGAGGGGUUGUGCUGCCAAGUUUAGUGUUUCUGGGAUGUGUAGUUUUGUUGUUUUGUCCUAGGCCAAAAUUUCAUUACCGUUUUAUAUAUAUAGAUUGAUAUGUGUUUUAAGGUAUUAUUGCUUGUCUCCGUGUUGGGCUCUGCCCCAUGUUAGCCACCCCGAGUCCCUUCGGGGAGAUGGUAGCGGGAUAGAAAAAUAAAGUAUUAUUAUUAUUA